UGCAUUAGUACUUCCGGCUUGGCUCGGCCGCCCCUCAACUGGUCUUCCCCCUCCCCUCCGCCUCCUCCGCUCCCUCCGCUCCCUCCCGCUCCUGGGAAAGCAAAGCUGCGGCUUAAGGGGUGGUUGAGAGAAGCAGUAGGCGCCUCGGGGAGGGGACCGCGCCCGCCCCCUUGGAACACUGGAGCACCGCUGAUUUAGGGAUACAAAAAUGAAGAUAUGGUGUGUACUUUUAUUAAUCAAGUUGAAGAAACAAGACUUCAAAGGAGGACAGGUGUGAGGCCAGUGCACCUUUGACCCAAUGGGGCUUAACUGGUUACAAAAUGUCCUUCUAUGCAUGAGAUCUACGGACUAUAUGUUCUUCAAGAACUGAUCAGUGGUUUUCACCUUCUGGAAGAACACUAGAAGCAUAAAUAUGGUGCCAAAACUCCUCAUUCUCUGACUGUGGUGAUUUGGACAUACUUCUGUGUGGAGGAGAAGUAUACACGCUGAGGUCACUCAUUGUUCAGAGACUGUCGUGUAGGAACAUGGACCAUUCUAAUAGGGAAAAGGAUGAUAGACAACGGACAACUAAAACCAUGGCACAAAGGAAUACACACUGUUCGAGACCAUCUGGCACUUCAACAUCCUCUGGGGUUCUCAUGGUGGGACCCAACUUCAGGGUUGGCAAGAAGAUAGGGUGUGGGAACUUCGGAGAGCUCAGAUUAGGUAAAAAUCUCUACACCAAUGAAUAUGUAGCCAUUAAACUGGAACCAAUAAAAUCACGUGCUCCACAACUUCAUUUAGAGUACAGGUUUUAUAAACAGCUUGGCAGUGCAGGUGAAGGCCUCCCACAGGUUUAUUACUUUGGACCAUGUGGGAAGUACAAUGCCAUGGUGCUGGAACUCCUUGGCCCUAGCUUGGAAGACUUGUUUGACCUCUGUGACCGAACGUUUACUUUGAAGACGGUGUUAAUGAUAGCCAUCCAGUUGCUUUCUCGAAUGGAGUAUGUACACUCAAAGAAUCUUAUUUACCGAGAUGUCAAACCAGAGAACUUCUUGAUUGGCCGACAAGGCAAUAAGAAAGAGCAUGUAAUACACAUUAUAGAUUUUGGACUGGCCAAGGAAUAUGUUGAUCCUGAAACCAAAAAACACAUACCUUACAGAGAGCACAAAAGUUUGACUGGAACUGCGAGAUACAUGUCUAUCAACACACAUCUAGGCAAAGAGCAAAGCCGGCGAGAUGAUUUGGAAGCCUUAGGCCAUAUGUUCAUGUACUUCCUCCGAGGCAGCCUACCCUGGCAAGGACUCAAGGCUGAUACAUUAAAAGAGAGAUAUCAAAAAAUCGGUGAUACCAAAAGGAAUACUCCCAUCGAAGCUCUCUGUGAGAACUUUCCAGAGGAGAUGGCAACCUACCUUCGAUAUGUCAGGCGAUUAGACUUCUUUGAAAAACCUGAUUAUGAGUAUUUACGGACCCUCUUCACAGAUCUGUUUGAACGGAAAGGCUAUACCUUUGACUAUGCCUAUGAUUGGGUUGGAAGGCCUAUUCCUACUCCAGUAGGAUCAGUUCAUGUAGAUUCUGGUGCAUCUGCAAUAACUCGAGAAAGCCACACACACAGGGAUCGGCCAUCACAACAACAGCCUCUUAGAAAUCAGCUAGUUUCUCUUUUACUUUCACACUGCUUUUUCAAAAAUUUACUUACUUUAUGUGUGUGUGUGUGUGUGUGUGUGUGAUAUAAUGUAUAUGUACACACACAUACAUGAUACAUACACACACACCAUGUAUGUGCAGAUGCUGGAGAAGAGGGCAUUAUUAGUUCUCUGUGAACUGGAGUUAUAGGCAAUUGUGAGCUCUCUGGAGUGAGUGCUGAACCCUUGGGGCCUCUGGAGGAGCAGCAGUGCUCUUUACUGCUAAGUCACCUCUCCAACUGCCUAUCUUCUUUUGUCUUUGGUGACCAUUGAGUUUAACUGGGGUUGCUUACUGAGGAAUGGGCAAUUUACCAAUAACUACAGGGCUAAAAAAAAAUGUUCCUCUCCUAGCAACUAGUAACUGCCUAUAGAUCCUUAAAUAGGGGCAGGUCUUUGUGAGCUCCUUCUCUUGCUUUUUUUAUUUUUUAUUUCUAGUAUGUUUGUCUUUGUGCUUUGUAUGUGCCUGGUGCUGACUGAGGUCAGAGGAGGGCAUUAGAUUCCCUGGAACUGGAGUUACUGACAAUUGUAAGCUACCAUGUGGGUGUUGGGAACUGAUUUCAGGUUCUCUGCAAGUGCUCUGAGAUACUGUAAAGUAUUUAAGUCUUGGGAAGCUGGGCACUGUUGUGGCAUACACACACCUGAAGCAGGAGCAUUCAUGAGUUUGAGGCCAGCCUGGAGUUAUAUAAUGAGACCUAAUUCUACAUAAUAGUGUAAGAACUUGAAUACUCUAUUUAAACUUUACUAAACUAAUUGUGUAUCUUCUAAUGUUAAAAAAAAAAAAAACAUUCAAUUGUCUAGGCAUCAGAUAAUGUCACUGGGUUUAUAACAUGGUAAAAUUUUGCUAGAUACCCCAGCCUUUUUUUUUUUUUUCCCCCAAGAUAGAGUUUUUCUCUAUAGCCCUGGCUGUCCUGGAACUCACUCUCUCACUCUGUAGACCAGGCUGCCUUCAAACUCAGAAAUCCCCCUGCCUCUGCCUCCAAAGUGCUGGGAUUAAAGGCGUGUGCCACCACUGCCUGGCCUACCACAGUCUUAUUUUGGAAAACUUAACAUCUGAAUAUCUAUCAACAGAAACGGUUGGAUGGGAAGCAUCAAAGUAGUGUAUACUCUAAUCCCAGCUACACAGGUCACUGGUGGGAUGAUGGUAUGACAGUUCAAGAUCAACCUAAGCAACUUAACCCCUCAGGGAAGGGAUAUUUAUAAUAGUUUCAACUCUCUGUGAUGCUGUCAGCAUGAAACCCAAACCCCACUUAUAGAAGUUACACAGUAAGCAAGUUAAUACAGCUAUCUCCUUAUUGAACCUCUUCAUCCUCCAAAGGAAGUAACAGCAAAUCAGACCAGAAUCUUUUACAGUACUGUUACUACCUAUCCAUGUGACUUCAGAGUCUGUUAAUAAUGGUGAGUAAAUUAUAGCUUUAUAGGAAAUGUCUGUUAGGGCACUUACUAAUGAACUUUAAACAGUUCUUAUCAAUGAAAUCCUUAGAGGGAAAUAGUCAAUAUGGAGCCUUAAGCUAUAGAAUACACAUUUAUAUUUACCAGCAUUUACGGGAUUUAUAAGUUCCUUACCUAGUGUUCAUGUAGAGGAAUGAUACUCUAUUCCAACCCCUGCUGUUACUGAUAUUAGCAGCAAUUAAAUUUUUAAUUACUAAUCCUUCAUUACUUCCUCUUAAACUACUCAUUUUCAUUUUUUAAACCUUUAGGGCUAUUACACAGCUGUGAGACAUGGUGGUAGUACCUCAGCCAUCUGGCACAGGGCAGAAGGGACCUAGACUCUUGAGAACAAAAAGUCACACAUAAGUGAUAGCAGACUAGCAUGAGAGCUUAAACAACAAAGUGGUAAAGAAGACAUGAGGACAGCCUGAAUGGCAGCAAAAAUAGAAACAGUAUCAAGAGUUUUAAUUUUUUAGAGACCCUAUUUUUGCUGAAUAAAUAUCUGCCUUUUGCUUUCCAUAAGAAAGUAAUUCACAUCAGUCAUGUCAGUUAGUAAAUUGUUUCUAAUUCCAAAUUAAAUACUAUUGGCCCAAGGAAUCAAAAGCUUUAUUCUGUCUUUGUGUGCUUGCUUGUUCUUAACGUGUCAGUCUCCUUUAAAAAGAUAUUUUGGGGGCUGGAGAGAUGGCUCAGUGGUGAAUAUCACUGACUGCUCUUCCAGAGGCCUAGAUUCAGUAUUCAGGCCCCACACAGUGACUUACCACCGUUUGUGACCCCAGUUCCAGCAUAUCUAACACCUUCUUCUGGUCUUCAUAGGCACAUGGUACACAUACAUACCUGUAAGCACAACACUCAUACAUAUAAAACAAAUCUACAAAUACUUUUAAUAAGUAAAAUAUUUUUUAAAAUUAAAGAAAACUACUUUUCUCGUUUAUUUAGAUAUGAAAGCAUAUUCCAGCCACUGUUCAUCUUAGUGAAUCUCUUGUUAGUCAGCUAUGGUGUUUUACGCCUAAAUCUCAGCACUUAGUGUGCUGAAAUAGAAGAAUUGUUAUGAAUUUCAUACCAAUCAGGGUCUCAAAAAUGGAAGAAGAGGAGAAGGAACAGCAAAAUAAGAAAAAACAUGUCUCAUGGACAUUAACCUUGAGAGUAGAAAGCUACCUACCUAUUUAAGAAAAUGGCAUCAUCUUGGUUCCUCAUAGGAAGACUUUUAUCUGCUCAGUUAUUUAAUCAAUGAAAUUAUAAGUAUGACUGUUGCUCAAUAUCUUUUAACUUUUCUGAAUUUGAUCUGCGUAGUGGCUGCUGAAAUCACACUAAUGUGGAAGCUGAAAGGUGAUUCCCAGUUUUUGGUUGGCUCCCUCUCUACUCUUGGUCAGUACAGGUUUUCUUUCAACUGAUGUGUUGGUUGGUUAGUGGAAAUGAAUGCAGCCAUGGUAUUAUUUCUAGGUGCUCUGCAGCAGUUGUUAAUGUCAGGUUCCAAACAGAAGGCCUGCAGGAACACUAAUGUACUCGGUUUUGUUGUUGCUUUCUGUUGCUUUACCUUUCCUUCCAUAUCUCGCUGUCAUGCUUCCUAAUGCCUAAGCAGACUACAUCAUCAGAGCGCCGAGGAGAGUGGGAAAUCCAGCCCAGCCGGCAGACCAAUACCUCAUACCUGACGUCUCACUUGGCCGCAGACCGCCAUGGGGGUUCAGUACAGGUGGUUAGCUCAACCAAUGGAGAGCUGAAUGUCGAUGACCCCACUGGAGCUCACUCCAAUGCACCAAUCACAGCUCAUGCCGAAGUGGAGGUAGUGGAGGAAGCUAAGUGCUGCUGUUUCUUUAAGAGGAAAAGGAAGAAGACAGCCCAGCGACACAAGUGACCAGUGCCUCCCAGGAGUCCUCAAGUCCUGGGGACUCUGGCUCCAAUUGCACCUGCAGCUCCUGCCAUUUCUCAUUGGAAGGGACUCCUCUGUGGGGGAGGGUAGAGAUCCAAACCAAAAAGAAGAAAACAGAUGCCCCCAGAAGGAGCCAGUGCAGGCAGCCAGGGCCGAGUGGGCCAGUGGCAAUCCCCUCUGUCUGAGCUCUGAGCGGGUCCAGAGCUGCUGCUUCUCCACUGCUUGCCCUUGGGCUAUCUGGUUGACUCUCUUCCCAUUGUUUACAGUGAAGGUGUCAUUCACAAAAACUCAAGGACUACUAUUCUCUUCCCCCCUUUUUACUCCUGGCUCUUGCACCAUCCUCAACCCUCUCCAGCAUAAAGAAACUACUAAGCUAAAGGCUCUAUCAAGAAGCUGGUGGUGUGGCCAAGAAGAUAGGGGAAGAUGACAGCCCUGGGCUGGAGAACUUCUCCACUUCCCAGGUGUGUCUGGUAGUGUGGCUUCCUCUCCCUCUGUGCCUGGGUAACCCCUCAGCCCAGCUGGCCACAGGGUUCAGGUCCCUUCCUUUGUCCUUCCCUUCCUCCCUCCCUCCUUCCCUCCUGUGAAGUUACACUGUAGGACACAAGCUGUGAGCAGUCUGCAGUCUACUGUCCCUGUGUGUUGGCGUUCUUAGCUUUUUUGACAAGCAGAUCCCUUGCUCCGGGCUGUAGCAAAAUAUGCCUGUGGUUCUGAGCAAAGGAAAGGAAACUGACUUUAUUGCACUUUUAGUUUUUUGGGUUUUUGUUUUUAUUUUAUAAACAACAUGGCAGAUGCAUAUUGUGUCUGGUUAUAUUGGGGGGUUUGUUUUUUUUUUUUUUUUCUUUUUCAAGGGGGAUGGGCCAGCCAAGCCAUUCAGAGAAAAUGUGGGUCCAGAGGACAUUUUUGAUGGAAAGAGUCUGAUUUGCAGCACUUGGAAGAGAAGAAGCCAAACUCUGCGUCAUCCUGAGUAAUAUUCAGGUUGGCAAGGAAACAUACUUGAAUUUUCAUUCAUCUUCUCUGCUGCAGAAAAAAGUCCAGAGCCCUGACCUAAUCAAUCAGCCCAGACCUAAUCAAUCAGCCCAGAGCUUGAGCCCAGCUCCUGAGCCCGUGGGAUGAGCACCGAGCCAGACUGUGACCAACCAGAAGGCACCUCGUCUCAGAGAGGAGAUACUGAACAACAACAACAAAGCAAAUUUCUGUUUCCUCCACUGCCAGGGACUUCCUACUAGAUAGCCAUGUGACUUUCUGUUGACUCGGGGGACAAAAUUAGUGACUAAACACCCACCACCGUAUUGCCAGUAGUGGACAAAAGAAGGCACCACAUUUGCCUUCCAACUGCCAGAGGAGUCUCAGGAUGCAGCAUCCUAGGGCCAGGAAAAGAAAAUAUUUUCUGUCUGCCUGAAGUGAGCUAGAACAUGUGGGUCAGUCUGCCUUAGAAACCAUGCCUGUGAUAAUUUUGGAGCAUAUCCAUAGCAACAGGCUUAGAACGUGGUACAUGGGGCUGCUGCAAGCAGAGAAGGUAAGAUUGGUUGGUGCUAGGAAAUUCCAGGGAAAAGGAAACUGUAAUGAAAGGUCUAAAAUUUUAUCUAAACAAUCGAACAGAGACUGUCCAGACAGUAUGACCACAUAUCUUAGCAUGUUUUCCCCGGUACACACUCUAUCUGCUACGGUGAAGCAUCACUGGUUGCACAGUUAACAGUGUGUGGGGUUACUCCUCCCAUGUUCUAUUUUAUUUGAGAUUAGUGGCAUUUCCAGAUAGUAACUUCUUAUGCUAGUUGUGGCAAAAAGGCUUAUUCACGUGGGUAAAGAGGUCUUGUGUUUGGGUAUAAAGAACUAACCACCGAGAGCAGUGGCUAGUGACUUAGUACAGCACAGAACUCUUUGCUUUUAUAUGUAGAGGACUGGACUGGAAGAUGUCAGGACACUUGUGGUCAUGGAUCAAAUUUAGUAUCAAAUGAAGCAGAGUUUGUGCACCUUACCUGUUCUAUUGGACUGUGGCUAGGGAAUCUCCUCACUGACUUCAAACCUGGUUAGCAUUUGUAAAUAUUGCCACCUGGCCAUUUCUUUACAAGAAAUGUUUUUGUCUGUGAAUCAGAGUGGCAGGGAGAAGUCAGGUCAGACCCCUUCCCCAUAAGGAGUUGGAGUGUUAGGAUUUGCUUCCUUUUUACUAUAUAGUAGUUAAAGCUCAUCACUAACAUUUAUACAGUCCCUCAUUUGGCAUGUGGGCAACUCUGACUUCCCCUACAGAAACUUAAAAGUCUUUAUCCCAGGAAAUGGUGGCAACCUGGCACUCUCUGCCCUACUAAGUGCCUCCCCCACCCUGCUUCCAAGGUAAAGUAAAGGCAGUGACCAGCUUGGCUGCAGGGUGGGAUGCCCUGCAGCUGGGCUUAAGACUUCUUUUUUGUCUUAAAAUAUUUUUAUAGGCUAGCUCUUGAGGGGUUAAACCUGAGUGGUUUGUGUAUGUGGGGGAGUGUCCUUCCUAAUGCACUGUUGGCACCCUCCAGCACCCACAAAUCCCUUACUAGGUAUUUGGGUUUUGUAGCAAAGGUCCCUUUAACGUGCAGGGUGGUGGUGAUCCUUUCAAGGCCAGUGACACGCCAAGGUGAUCCCAAACCUGAGGAAUUCUCAUCUUCCUUAAAGUUAAAAUAGAACUAAAUUCCCCCAAAACACUCUUCUCAUCAUUUCAGCCCCCACCCCCAGCCCAGCACUUGAGGCUUCAUGCACAUCCCUGCUUCUUUUACCUGCCUGACUGCAAGCUCAGCAGAUCCUCGGGCACAGGCAACCCCCUCCAUCUCCUUGCAUCCAGGUCCACUUGCUCCAUCUCACCCGACACUUGAGACAGCAGGCAUUUGAUACUGUACUAUCUGGAGUUUCCUCGAGCUUUGCUGUCCUUGAGACAUUGCAGUUUGAGCAGACUGAGGUCCAGCCAGGCCAGGGUUACACCAGGGUGUAAAGUGUUCAGUCAUAUAAGUGGAUUUUCAGAAUUCUUGCUCCAGACUGCCCCCAAGGCUGCACUGAAUGUCCCAGCAGCUGGUGAACACUCAUGACUGCCUUAACAUUCUUCUACUUCGGGUCUGUCCAGGAGCAAACAGGGUCUGUGAAGAUGUCUGAGUCAGGCGACUAGGUAAGUCUCCAGUUAAAAGUCCCAUUUCGAUUGGAACAAACUGCAGGAAACAGCAAGUCCCCAAGAUUUCUGAAAGUGUUCACUUCCUUUUCAUUUUUAGUGAAUGACAAGAACUCAGAAGCACCCCGUGUCCAUUAGCCAGAUGGUGUACAUCUUCUGUAAAAUAACUUCCAGUUUAGUUCAGAAGGAAAGUGUGCUGUAGUGCUUAUUUAGUGUUGAUGUUCAAUGUUAGCAACCACUUGAAUUGCCAGAAGUAUGCUAUGUUAAAGUGGUUGCUAAGGAUCAUAGCCUUAAUUUAAAAAAAAAAAUGUAAAAGAUAAUUCAUUCCCCUCCAUGUUGAGCUAGUAUGGCUGCAUUUCUCAAGAAUAAGUCCACAGGCGCCUAGGAAGCAUUUCCUCAAAGGAACUUGGUCUUAAUUUCUCUUGACCCAUCCCUCCCAAGCCCAUAUGGCUCCUGUGUCCCAGCCACCUCUUCCAUGUUCAUAAGUGAGACCAGUUUUUCAUGUCUAUUUAGUUGUUCUGAUGAUGCUUUGUCUAGUGUCGGUCGGUCAUACCAUGACCUGAAUUUGAAGACCAGGAGUUUGCAUGGUCAUAUAACCAACAUUGCCUUUGCCAGGCCACUGCCACCAUCCCUCGAUUGCCCCAGGUGGGCAGGUUGAUUCCAGAGACCCUCAGGGAGCCAGAAUAACUAGGUACCCAUCUGGAUUGGCCAUGUGGGUGAUGAGCACUUAUCUCUGGAUUUCUUGAUUUUGCAGACUUCAAGGAAGUCCAGGUAGAGGUUGAUGGCCAAUGACUCCAGCCUUCCCCAUGAUGGGUUGGUAGGAAUCAAAUUAGAAUUCCUUUGUUUAUCAGGCAACUUUGUUUUAAGGUGGUUUGUUUUUUGAUUAUGAAAAGGAAGAGGCCACCAUGGCCCUUCUGUGAGUUUGUAAGUUUUGAGCAGUGUUUUCAUCACCAGUCCUGGGAGUCUCUGAUCCAAUCACCAGUCUGAAGGUGUUUUUUCCUACUUUUGCAAGUAACUAAGUACAGAAGAAUAGAGUUCUUAAUGUAUUCAAAAUAGUAAGUAGAUCCCUGAAUAUAGGCAAUAGUAGUUGAAAUAUUUUCUCAGAAAAACAAAACAACCAGGAAACCCACUCCAGUAUUUAUAGAUCAGAUUAUCAAGGGAAAAAAGUGAAUAUGCACUCCAUAUAUCUCUAGUUCAGUUACCAAACUUGAUCUUAUAAAGAAACCUCAGUUGUAUGGACAGAAUUAUCCCCCUCCCCAAUCUUUUUCUGGUGCCAUCACCAUCUUGAAGGUCUAAGAGCCAGGAAACAUUGUAGUCAUCUCAGCAGUGUGCAGACAGCUGCCGUCCUGGUUACCCCAAGCCCACCUUUCAGGGUCGGUGAAACCUUUUGGUGCCCCUCUUCAGGAGCUCCAGACCAAACCCCAGGCCACUCCAUGCACCAAAAGCCUUUUAGAAGGCUUCCCAGUCUGUUAGGAUGUCUCAGGAGACAUGAGCCAUUUCGUGGGGGAUGCAUGUACUCACAGAUGGAUGUGUGCACUCUGCUUUGUGGGCUUUCUUCUCAGAGACAGCACAGCUCCUGCGAACUGAUCUCGGUGAGCUGCUCAGACCAGCGAGUAAGCUGGCUCUGAGGCAGAGCAGAGAAUGACAGGAAAGAUGAAACCAAAAAUGCUAUAACUCUCCAAUGGAAAGUAAUGUUGAUGCAGCAAUUCCCAUUGGAUGUAUUACACUCUUCUAAUUUAUUGUUUGUCUCUUAAGUUUUACCCAUUGUACUCUUUAGAAGAUGUUAGGAUGUUGGUUGCAGGUUUUUUUUUUAAGUAGAUGAUGUGGGAAUCAGUUUUAAUUCAUGUGUGGAUGUGUCUAGUUAUUGUUAAAUGCCCUUUUUUUCUACUUUUUAAAAGAUAUGUAAUAUUUCAUAAUCCCUGGCACUGGUCAAAAAAAAAACACAGCUGUGAAAAGUAAAAUUGUAGUAUUUUUUAAAUGAAUGUCAAUUUCAAGUGUAUUUGAAAUGUUUCCUCCAGUAGACAGAUUUGAACACCGUUGGAAAAGACUCCUUUGCAGAGGAACUAGCCUUUGGAGAAAAUGGACUGUGGGUCUGGAUAUGUUAUCUCAGAGUAGCCCAUUUCAUAGGGCACCGUGACAACACAAAUGUGAUCUUUAAGUAUACCUCUUCCCCCUGGGGAGGGAAGGACUUAGUUUGCACCCUUUUUGUAUGUAAAAUAAAAUGUCCUACCUUUCUUGGCUACUUUUA